rnacentral:rRNA from 1 species
UUUAUUGGAGAGUUUGAUCCUGGCUCAGGACGAACGCUGGCGGCAUGCCUAAUACAUGCAAGUCGAGCGGAGUUGAUAGGAAGCUUGCUUCCUUGAUACUUAGCGGCGGACGGGUGAGUAACACGUAGGCAACCUGCCCUCAAGCUUGGGACAACUACCGGAAACGGUAGCUAAUACCGAAUACUUGCUUUCUUCGCCUGAAGGAAGCUGGAAAGACGGAGCAAUCUGUCACUUGAGGAUGGGCCUGCGGCGCAUUAGCUAGUUGGUGAGGUAACGGCUCACCAAGGCGACGAUGCGUAGCCGACCUGAGAGGGUGAUCGGCCA